AUUGAACGCUGGCGGCAUGCUUUACACAUGCAAGUCGAACGGUAACAGGCCGCAAGGUGCUGACGAGUGGCGAACGGGUGAGUAAUGCAUCGGAACGUGCCCAGUCGUGGGGGAUAACGCAGCGAAAGCUGCGCUAAUACCGCAUACGAUCUCUGGAUGAAAGCGGGGGACCGAAAGGCCUCGCGCGAUUGGAGCGGCCGAUGUCAGAUUAGGUAGUUGGUGGGGUAAAGGCCCACCAAGCCAACGAUCUGUAGCUGGUCUGAGAGGACGACCAGCCACACUGGGACUGAGACACGGCCCAGACUCCUACGGGAGGCAGCAGUGGGGAAUUUUGGACAAUGGGCGCAAGCCUGAUCCAGCAAUGCCGCGUGCAGGAAGAAGGCCUUCGGGUUGAAAACUGCUUUUGUACGGAACGAAACGGUCCGGGCUAAUGCCCUGGGCUAAUGACGGUACCGUAAGAAUAAGCACCGGCUAACUACGUGCCAGCCGCCGCCGUAA
rnacentral:rRNA from 1 species